AGUGAACGCUGGCGGUAGGCCUAACACAUGCAAGUCGAACGGCAGCACAGUAAGAGCUUGCUCUUACGGGUGGCGAGUGGCGGACGGGUGAGGAAUACAUCGGAAUCUACUUUUUCGUGGGGGAUAACGUAGGGAAACUUACGCUAAUACCGCAUACGACCUACGGGUGAAAGCAGGGGAUCUUCGGACCUUGCGCGAUUGAAUGAGCCGAUGUCGGAUUAGCUAGUUGGCGGGGUAAAGGCCCACCAAGGCGACGAUCCGUAGCUGGUCUGAGAGGAUGAUCCGCCACACUGGAACUGAGACACGGUCCAGACUCCUACGGGAGGCAGCAGUGGGGAAUAUUGGACAAUGGGCGCAAGCCUGAUCCAGCCAUACCGCGUGGGUGAAGAAGGUCUUCGGGUUGUAAAGCUCUUUUGUUGGGAAAGAACAGAAGUAGGUUAAUACCCCGACGUUUUGACGGUACCCAAAGAAUAAGCCCCGGCUAACUACGUG
rnacentral:rRNA from 1 species